rnacentral:rRNA from 1 species
GAUGAACGCUGGCGGCGUGCCUAAUACAUGCAAGUCGAGCGAACAGACGAGGAGCUUGCUCCUUUGACGUUAGCGGCGGACGGGUGAGUAACACGUGGGUAACCUACCUAUAAGACUGGGAUAACUUCGGGAAACCGGAGCUAAUACCGGAUAAUAUUUCGAACCGCAUGGUUCGAUAGUGAAAGAUGGCUUUGCUCUCACUUAUAGAUGGACCUGCGCCGUAUUAGCUAGUUGGUAAGGUAACGGCUUACCAAGGCAACGAUACGUAGCCGACCUGAGAGGGUGAUCGGCCACACUGGAACUGAGACACGGUCCAGACUCCUACGGGAGGCAGCAGUAGGGAAUCUUCCGCAAUGGGCGAAAGCCUGACGGAGCAACGCCGCGUGAGUGAUGAAGGUCUUCGGAUCGUAAAACUCUGUUAUUAGGGAAGAACAAACGUGUAAGUAACUGUGCACGUCUUGACGGUACCUAAUCAGAAAGCCACGGCUAACUACGUG